rnacentral:lncRNA from 1 species
UCUUGUGGACGUUCUAUAAUGUUGAAAGACAUGGACAUCCACCUGAUUGAAGUUCACCAGAACGAAUGUCAGGCCAACAUCGCCAUCCAAAGUUAGCUCUUAUUUUGCAGGUAAAAAGGAAAAUCAUUAUGAAUAUGCAUGAAUGAAAGAAAACAGAUAUGUGAUUAUUUGUGUAUAGUGCAAGAAUUAUGCAAUAUACAAGAUAUGUAUCAUGUGAAUGGUAUUGUUUUUUUAUGUAGUUUCACAUACUAAUGCGGGUUGAGAAACUUCAUCAGUCAGUAUUUCUACAAAUGGUAUAUAAUUGUCCAUGAUGAGAAGUCGGAGUACAGAACAAUCUCAACCGCAACUUGCAAGAGAUGGUGGCCCUGGGAAAGGCGGAUUUGUAGCAUAGUUGCUUUUCGGUUGGGGAGUAAAGUCCCUUCAAGCUUGGUCGGACUUCAAUGGUGAGAUAUCAGCUUAGGAACUUGUCAUUUUGUUUGUUUUGUCAUUUCAUGUUUGUCUGGCUGUUAACAGCUAGGGAUUAUUGAUGUGAUGCUUGAUCCCAGUGAUAGUGUAAAUUUAGAUAAGGC